rnacentral:rRNA from 1 species
AAUGAACCGGCGAGUUACGAUUUGAUGCAAGGUUAAGCAGUAAAUGUGGAGCCGUAGCGAAAGCGAGUCUGAAUAGGGCGUUUAGUAUUUGGUCGUAGACCCGAAACCAGGUGAUCUACCCUUGGUCAGGUUGAAGUUCAGGUAACACUGAAUGGAGGACCGAACCGACUUACGUUGAAAAGUGAGCGGAUGAACUGAGGGUAGCGGAGAAAUUCCAAUCGAACCUGGAGAUAGCUGGUUCUCUCCGAAAUAGCUUUAGGGCUAGCCUCAAGUGAUGAUUAUUGGAGGUAGAGCACUGUUUGGACGAGGGGCCCCUCUCGGGUUACCGAAUUCAGACAAACUCCGAAUGCCAAUUAAUUUAACUUGGGAGUCAGAACAUGGGUGAUAAGGUCCGUGUUCGAAAGGGAAACAGCCCAGACCACCAGCUAAGGUCCCAAAAUAUAUGUUAAGUGGAAAAGGAUGUGGCGUUGCCCAGACAACUAGGAUGUUGGCUUAGAAGCAGCCAUCAUUUAAAGAGUGCGUAAUAGCUCACUAGUCGAGUGACACUGCGCCGAAAAUGUACCGGGGCUAAACAUGUUACCGAAGCUGUGGAUUGUCCUUUGGACAAUGGUAGGAGAGCGUUCUAAGGGCGUUGAAGCAUGAUCGUAAGGACAUGUGGAGCGCUUAGAAGUGAGAAUGCCGGUGUGAGUAGCGAAAGACGGGUGAGAAUCCCGUCCACCGAUUGACUAAGGUUUCCAGAGGAAGGCUCGUCCGCUCUGGGUUAGUCGGGUCCUAAGCUGAGGCCGACAGGCGUAGGCGAUGGAUAACAGGUUGAUAUUCCUGUACCACCUAUAAUCGUUUUAAUCGAUGGGGGGACGCAGUAGGAUAGGCGAAGCGUGCGAUUGGAUUGCACGUCUAAGCAGUAAGGCUGAGUAUUAGGCAAAUCCGGUACUCGUUAAGGCUGAGCUGUGAUGGGGAGAAGACAUUGUGUCUUCGAGUCGUUGAUUUCACACUGCCGAGAAAAGCCUCUAGAUAGAAAAUAGGUGCCCGUACCGCAAACCGACACAGGUAGUCAAGAUGAGAAUUCUAAGGUGAGCGAGCGAACUCUCGUUAAGGAACUCGGCAAAAUGACCCCGUAACUUCGGGAGAAGGGGUGCUCUUUAGGGUUAACGCCCAGAAGAGCCGCAGUGAAUAGGCCCAAGCGACUGUUUAUCAAAAACACAGGUCUCUGCUAAACCGUAAGGUGAUGUAUAAGGGCUGACGCCUGCCCGGUGCUGGAAGGUUAAGAGGAGUGGUUAGCUUCUGCGAAGCUACGAAUCGAAGCCCCAGUAAACGGCGGCCGUAACUAUAACGGUCCUAAGGUAGCGAAAUUCCUUGUCGGGUAAGUUCCGACCCGCACGAAAGGCGUAACGAUUUGGGCACUGUCUCAACGAGAGACUCGGUGAAAUCAUAGUACCUGUGAAGAUGCAGGUUACCCGCGACAGGACGGAAAGACCCCGUGGAGCUUUACUGUAGCCUGAUAUUGAAAUUCGGCACAGCUUGUACAGGAUAGGUAGGAGCCUUUGAAACGUGAGCGCUAGCUUACGUGGAGGCGCUGGUGGGAUACUACCCUAGCUGUGUUGGCUUUCUAACCCGCACCACUUAUCGUGGUGGGAGACAGUGUCAGGCGGGCAGUUUGACUGGGGCGGUCGCCUCCUAAAAGGUAACGGAGGCGCUCAAAGGUUCCCUCAGAAUGGUUGGAAAUCAUUCAUAGAGUGUAAAGGCAUAAGGGAGCUUGACUGCGAGACCUACAAGUCGAGCAGGGUCGAAAGACGGACUUAGUGAUCCGGUGGUUCCGCAUGGAAGGGCCAUCGCUCAACGGAUAAAAGCUACCCCGGGGAUAACAGGCUUAUCUCCCCCAAGAGUUCACAUCGACGGGGAGGUUUGGCACCUCGAUGUCGGCUCAUCGCAUCCUGGGGCUGUAGUCGGUCCCAAGGGUUGGGCUGUUCGCCCAUUAAAGCGGUACGCGAGCUGGGUUCAGAACGUCGUGAGACAGUUCGGUCCCUAUCCGUCGUGGGCGUAGGAAAUUUGAGAGGAGCUGUCCUUAGUACGAGAGGACCGGGAUGGACAUACCUCUGGUGUACCAGUUGUCGUGCCAACGGCAUAGCUGGGUAGCUAUGUGUGGACGGGAUAAGUGCUGAAAGCAUCUAAGCAUGAAGCCCCCCUCAAGAUGAGAUUUCCCAACUUCGGUUAUAAGAUCCCUCAAAGAUGAUGAGGUUAAUAGGUUCGAGGUGGAAGCAUGGUGACAUGUGGAGCUGACGAAUACUAAUCGAUCGAAGACUUAAUCA